CCUACGGGAGGCAGCAGUGAGGAAUAUUGGUCAAUGGCCGGAAGGCUGAACCAGCCAUGCCGCGUGAAGGUCAGUGCCCUAUGGGCGUUAAACUUCUUUUGUGCGGGAGCAAUAAUGGUCACGUGUGGCCAGACGAGAGUACCGUACGAAUAAGCAUCGGCUAACUCCGUGCCAGCAGCCGCGGUAAUACGGGGGGUGCAAGCGUUAUCCGGAUUUAUUGGGUUUAAAGGGUGAGUAGGCUGUGAGGUAAGUCAGCGGUGAAAUGCCCCCGCUCAACGGGGUGAAGUGCCAUUGAUACUGCCUGGCUGGAAUGCGGAUGACGUGGGAGGAAUGUGUGGUGUAGCGGUGAAAUGCAUAGAUAUCACACAGAACACCGAUUGCGAAGGCAUCUCACGAAUCCGCGAUUGACGCUGAUGCACGAAAGCGUGGGUAUCAAACAGGAUUAGAUACCCUUGUAGUC
rnacentral:rRNA from 1 species